rnacentral:rRNA from 1 species
UUUCUGUAGGUGAACCUGCGGAAGGAUCAUUACCGUAAGAUAACUUAGAGUUUUGAGACUGUGUUCCAAAACGGGACGCGUGCUCGACUCUUAUUCUUUAUCCAUACACACCGCUGUGCACUUAUGGGACUGUAAAGUCCCCUUUUUCAUUAUAAAAACCUGUCAUAAUGCAUGUUUAUGUAUACUCUACGGAGUAAUAUACAACUUUCAACAACGGAUCUCUUGGCUUUCGCAUCGAUGAAGAACGCAGCGAACGUGCGAAACGUAAUGUGAAUUGCAGAAUUCAGUGAAUCAUCGAAUCUUUGAACGCAUCUUGCGCUCCUUGGCAUUCCGAGGAGCAUGCCUGUUUGAGUGUCGUGAAGUACUCAAUUUCAAAUAUUUUUUGUUUGAAAAUUGGAUUUGAAUGAUGUUGUGGGGUCACACACAACUCAUUCUAAAUGCAUUAGCGGUCUAAUCUUGAUCACGCACAAUGUGAUAAGAAAACAAAGCAUUGUCAGUGUCGAGUUAAAGUCGCUUCCAACUGUCGAAAGACAAUCAUUUUAUGUCAUUUGACCUCAAAUCAGGUAGGACUACCCGCUGAACUUAAGCA